AUGCAAGUCGACGCGAAGUCACUUCGGUGGCGAGUAGAGUGGCGGACGGGUGAGUAACGCGUAGGAAUCUACCCAGUAGUGGGGGACAACUCGGGGAAACUCGAGCUAAUACCGCAUACGCCCUACGGGGGAAAGUGGGGGAUCUUCGGACCUCACGCUAUUGGAUGAGCCUGCGUCGGAUUAGCUAGUUGGUAGGGUAAAGGCCUACCAAGGCGACGAUCCGUAGCUGGUCUGAGAGGACGGCCAGCCACACUGGGACUGAGACACGGCCCAGACUCCUACGGGAGGCAGCAGUGGGGAAUAUUGGACAAUGGGCGCAAGCCUGAU
rnacentral:rRNA from 1 species